AGCGAACGCUGGCGGCAGGCUUAACACAUGCAAGUCGAACGCCCGGGCAACCGGGAGUGGCAGACGGGUGAGUAACACGUGGGAACGUACCCUUUGGUUCGGAAUAACUCAGGGAAACUUGAGCUAAUACCGGAUAAGCCCUUAUGGGGAAAGAUUUAUCGCCGAAGGAUCGGCCCGCGUCCGAUUAGCUAGUUGGUGAGGUAAUGGCUCACCAAGGCGACGAUCGGUAGCUGGUCUGAGAGGAUGAUCAGCCACACUGGGACUGAGACACGGCCCAGACUCCUACGGGAGGCAGCAGUGGGGAAUAUUGGACAAUGGGGGCAACCCUGAUCCAGCCAUGCCGCGUGAGUGAUGAAGGCCCUAGGGUUGUAAAGCUCUUUCGGCGGGGACGAUAAUGACGGUACCCGCAGAAGAAGCCCCGGCUAACUUCGUG
rnacentral:rRNA from 1 species